UAUACAUGCAGUCGAGCGGACAGAUGGGAGCUUGCUCCCUGAUGUUAGCGGCGGACGGGUGAGUAACACGUGGGUAACCUGCCUGUAAGACUGGGAUAACUCCGGGAAACCGGGGCUAAUACCGGAUGGUUGUUUGAACCGCAUGGUUCAAACAUAAAAGGUGGCUUCGGCUACCACUUACAGAUGGACCCGCGGCGCAUUAGCUAGUUGGUGAGGUAACGGCUCACCAAGGCAACGAUGCGUAGCCGACCUGAGAGGGUGAUCGGCCACACUGGGACUGAGACACGGCCCAGACUCCUACGGGAGGCAGCAGUAGGGAAUCUUCCGCAAUGGACGAAAGUCUGACGGAGCAACGCCGCGUGAGUGAUGAAGGUUUUCGGAUCGUAAAGCUCUGUUGUUAGGGAAGAACAAGUACCGUUCGAAUAGGGCGGUACCUUGACGGUACCUAACCAGAAAGCCACGGCUAACUACGUGCCAGCAGCCGCGGUAAUACGUAGGUGGCAAGCGUUGUCCGGAAUUAUUGGGCGUAAAGGGCUCGCAGGCGGUUUCUUAAGUCUGAUGUGAAAGCCCCCGGCUCAACCGGGGAGGGUCAUUGGAAACUGGGGAACUUGAGUGCAGAAGAGGAGAGUGGAAUUCCACGUGUAGCGGUGAAAUGCGUAGAGAUGUGGAGGAACACCAGUGGCGAAGGCGACUCUCUGGUCUGUAACUGACGCUGAGGAGCGAAAGCGUGGGGAGCGAACAGGAUUAGAUACCCUGGUAGUCCACGCCGUAAACGAUGAGUGCUAAGUGUUAGGGGGGUUUCCGCCCCUUAGUGCUGCAGCUAACGCAUUAAGCACUCCGCCCUGGGGGAGUACGGGUCGCAAGACUG
rnacentral:rRNA from 2 species